rfam:Culex pipiens quinquefasciatus supercont3.73 genomic scaffold, whole genome shotgun sequence.
GCAGCUGUGGCUGAAUGGUUACAGUGUUUGUAAAGUAAGCGAAUGGUUCUGGGUUCAAUUCCCAUCUGCUCCC